UACGUAGGGUGCAAGCGUUAAUCGGAAUUACUGGGCGUAAAGCGUGCGCAGGCGGUUUUGUAAGUCUGACGUGAAAUCCCCGGGCUCAACCUGGGAAUUGCGUUGGAGACUGCAAGGCUGGAGCCUGGCAGAGGGGGGUAGAAUUCCACGUGUAGCAGCGAAAUGCGUAGAGAUGUGGAGGAACACCGAUGGCGAAGGCAGCCCCCUGGGUCAAGACUGACGCUCAUGCACGAAAGCGUGGGGAGCAAACAGG
rnacentral:rRNA from 1 species